rnacentral:pre_miRNA from 1 species
AGUGGAAUUGCUGGGUCACAUGUAUAAAUAUGCUCAUUUCUUGAGAAAAUACCAAACCAUUUUCCAGAGUGAUUUGAUCAUUUUCCAUUUCUACUGGCAAU